AUGAACGCUGGCGGCGUGCCUAAUACAUGCAAGUCGAGCGAACGGACGAGAAGCUUCCUUCUCUGAUGUUAGCGGCGGACGGGUGAGUAACACGUGGAUAACCUACCUAUAAGACUGGGAUAACUUCGGGAAACCGGAGCUAAUACCGGAUGAUAUUUUGAACCGCAUGGUUCAAAAGUGAAAGACGGUCUUGCUGUCACUUAUAGAUGGAUCCGCGCUGCAUUAGCUAGUUGGUAAGGUAACGGCUUACCAAGGCAACGAUGCAUAGCCGACCUGAGAGGGUGAUCGGCCACACUGGAACUGAGACACGGUCCAGACUCCUACGGGAGGCAGCAGUAGGGAAUCUUCCGCAAUGGGCGAAAGCCUGACGGAGCAACGCCGCGUGAGUGAUGAAGGUCUUCGGAUCGUAAAACUCUGUUAUUAGGGAAGAACAUAUGUGUAAGUAACUGUGCACAUCUUGACGGUACCUAAUCAGAAAGCCACGGCUAACUGCGUG
rnacentral:rRNA from 1 species